UGCACUGUAGAGAGCGGCGCGGCGAAACAAAGAUGGCGCCGACAUCCAGCCUUGUCUGGAUAUAAACGACUUACUGCGCAUGUGCAGGCUUGUCCCCUUGCUAGGGCUCCCCCUAGUGGUGAACAGCGGUACUGCACAUGUGCGGUUUAUGCACCAGGUGUUAGUUGACCGUUAAUAUGCUAAUGAGGUGAUUCAUUCUCCGCCAAUCCCUGGAGGACAAGUAGUGGGGUGAUCCAAGCCCCACCAAUCCCUGAGAGAUAAUUAGCAUACUGUUGUCUAUAUAAGCCGAGCGAUUUUGCUGCUCGGGGUCCCUGUUCAAGAGAGCUGUAACACUAAGAGAGCUGUAACACUAAGAAGAGCUGUAACACAGUAAAGGCUUGCUCGCAGAAGAAUCCUGUUGCCGCGCGUCGUUCUUGCUGGCGGGACAUUGGGCGCGCGACAAGUGGUGCCGAAACCCAGGAACCAACAUCGCCGGUGCCUAGGGGACCCUUCAGUGUGCUGAAGAGGAUUCAGAACUGCGAGAAGUGUUGGACAGAUGGAUCAGUGGUUACAUCUGAUUGUCAUGCGAGCAUGAGGAGAGGACUUCAGAUCCCCAGAAGCCUGCGUCAAUGUGGUGUGGACAGGACAGCACACCAUCACUCCAGCCUCAAUGAGUGGAAACUGGAGAUCAAUCCCCAGAGCAGGCUGGCUGGAGAGACCAGCUCUGGGUUGGAUGGAGAGGCCUGCCGCAGACAACAGGGCCUUGGAAGGAUUCCGGAUCUCAUGUUUGGAGGUAAAGAGGGAAGAGUAAGAGGAAAGAACAAACAACAUCCACCUUGCACCACAGAAGAUUCAUUCACAGGCCUUGGCACUGUGGGGAUUCGGAGUAGAGAUUUUAGCUCUGAUAUCCACGCGUAGAAUGGAAAUACAGAGGAGACUAAAACCAGUGAGAACCUCAAACAUCACCAAGAGGUGACUGGGAUUGAGUCAAGUUGACAGCUAACACUAUGGUAAUGGAGCAAUUCCUACCACCGCUCUGGUCACAUGAAGAAAGGAAUAGGAGACAUCACGGGUAAGCAAGCCGUGGUUUCGACAUAAUCACACAGUAAGAAAACUGAUUCUGGAAAGUUCCCUUCCAAAGGGCAUGGCGUUCCCUUCCAAAGGGCAUGGCGUUGUCUAACUUGAGAGUCAUCUGUCUCUGAUCCUUUCUCCCACCGUGUGGAACCAUUGGAGAGGCCAGUGAGUGACUGAUAAUGCAAAGCCAGAGGUGCCUACUGCACCCAGAGACCUUCCUGCCACAUCUCCUUCCUCCCUAAGACCCUUUAACUGGGGGUUGACAAGAGUCCCUCAACCUCUCUUCAAGCAAUUCACUGUAAGUGGAGUUUGUGUUGUAUGGGGCUCACAUUUACAAAGCUCAUCUAUUUAUUUGCUUGCUUGCUUUUGCAGUGUUGGGUAGACCCCAGACUUUUGUACAUUGGGUAAGAGAUCCAUCCUCGGCCCUUGAUUUUGUUUUUUCCCUUUUAUUCAUUAGUAUAUAUUAAUUAGUGAUAUAUGAUAAUAAGUUUCCUUAUUUUCAUGCAUGUGUGUAAUAAUUUUGAUCAUAUUCACC